ensembl:lncRNA
AUGGAACAAAGGAAACUAAGUUUCUCUGUGACAACCUCAGGUUCCUCCUACUUAUCCACAAAGUACAGACGUUACUCUAGUUGGUUUCUUACUUUCUUCAAAAUGAUGCCAUCUCAUCUCAUCAUAUCCAUCCUCACUGUGCUCUUAAUAAGAGGUGUUUACCUCAGUAAAGAAAAACAAGUAUUUCAGACUCCAGCUGACCUUUUCAUGAAACCAAAUGUUCAAGCCAACCUGAGCUUGACUCAUCAAAUCCCAAGCUAUGACACAAUUCUCUGGUAUCAGCGCUCAGCAGGAGACACUUCCCUAAAGCUAAUUGGUUAUGUGAGAUACAGAAAUCCUACAAUUGAGAAAGCAUUUCAAAGCCACUUUAACGUGAGUGGGGAUGGUGAGAAAACAGCCUAUCUUCACAUCUUGAGGCCAAGACACCCUGAAGACAGUGGAGAAUAUUUUGGAGCAGCAAGUAUGCACUGUAACACAAACAAUGAAUCACUCAUACAAAAAACCUCCACAAUGAAUACAGCAGAUAAAAUAA